rnacentral:rRNA from 1 species
CCUACGGGAGGCAGCAGUGAGGAAUAUUGGUCAAUGGCCGGAAGGCUGAACCAGCCAUGCCGCGUGAAGGUCAGUGCCCUAUGGGCGUUAAACUUCUUUUGUGCGGGAGCAAUAAUGGUCACGUGUGGCCAGACGAGAGUACCGUACGAAUAAGCAUCGGCUAACUCCGUGCCAGCAGCCGCGGUAAUACGGGGGAUGCAAGCGUUAUCCGGAUUUAUUGGGUUUAAAGGGUGCGUAGGCUGUGAGGUAAGUCAGCGGUGAAAUGCCCCCGCUCAACGGGGUGAAGUGCCAUUGAAACUGCCUGGCUGGAGUGCGGAUGCGGUGGGAGGAAUGUGUGGUGUAGCGGUGAAAUGCAUAGAGAGCACACAGAACACCAAUUGCGAAGGCAUCUCACGAAUCCGCGAUUGACGUUGAUGCACGAAAGCGUGGGUAUCAAACAGGAUUAGAUACCCGAGUAGUC